AGUGAGACCAUGAACCCACCUGGAGGGAUUAACAACUCCAGACGCACCACCUUAAGAGCUGUAACACUCACUGCGAAGGUCUGCAGCUUCACUCCUGAAGCCAGGAAGACCACGAACCCACCAGAAGGAAUAAACUCCGAGCAUGUCUGAACAUCAGAAGGAACAAAGUCUGGACACACCAUCUUUAAGAACUGUUACGCUCACCGCGAGGGUCCGCAGCUUCAUUCUUGAAGUCAGUGAGACCAAGAACCCACCAAUUUAGGACACACUAUGUGUUAGGCCUGGCUCAGUGAGAAAAACCGUAGCCUCAGAGAGAUCACGGUACCCUGCCAGAGGUUGUAGAACUUGUUGGAAACUUGGAUCAAGAGGGUGUGACAAAUAACCAGGAAAGAUGAAUGGGAGGGCUGAUUUUCGAGAGCCGAAUGCAGAGGUUCCAAGACCAAUUCCCCACAUAGGGCCUGAUUACAUUCCAACAGAGGAAGAAAGGAGAGUCUUCGCAGAAUGCAAUGAUGAAAGCUUCUGGUUCAGAUCUGUGCCUUUGGCUGCAACAAGUAUGUUGAUUACUCAAGGAUUAAUUAGUAAAGGAAUACUUUCAAGUCAUCCCAAAUAUGGUUCCAUCCCUAAACUUAUACUUGCUUGUAUCAUGGGAUACUUUGCUGGAAAACUUUCUUAUGUGAAAACUUGCCAAGAGAAAUUCAAGAAACUUGAAAAUUCCCCGCUUGGAGAAGCUUUACGAUCAGGACAAGCACGACGAUCUUCACCACCUGGGCACUAUUAUCAAAAGUCAAAAUAUGACUCAAAUGUGAGUGGUCAAUCGUCUUUUGUGACAUCCCCAGCAGCAGACAACAUAGAAAUGCUUCCUCAUUAUGAGCCAAUUCCAUUCAGUUCUUCUAUGAAUGAAUCUGCUCCCACUGGUAUUACUGAUCAUAUUGUCCAAGGUAGAAACUUCUCUUGAAAUGAAUUUCAACAUUUUAUGGUCCAACGUAUGUAUAAACUUUAUUUGAUGACCUUUUCUGCUGGAUAUCACCUGUGUGUUCUACCAUCAAUCAUCAACCUAAACUCAGCAUGUUUGUUCAUUUGUUUCUUCAUUCAUUCAACUUUUCUUGAGGACCAGUAGGUGUCAAGGACUCUGCUAGACGUGGAAGAAGAUGAAUAACACUUGGUUCUUGUCCCUGAAAAACUUCCAGUCUGUUAGAAGAUAUAGAAAUACAAGGAUGAAUUACUAGUAUGUCCCAGUAAUUGAAAAUACUAAGGCAAGCUUAGUGGAAUAGUGAAGAAGAAAUGAUAAAUCGUGUCUCAGGAAGUAGAGCUCCAGGAAAGGUAUAAAAAGGUUACAUUUGAUAGGCUGGGUUUUAAAGGCGUUCAGCUUCCUUGUCUGUAAUACAAGAAAGAACUGUUGUCAAGUGAGAAAAUCCAUGUGAAAAUGCUUUGUGAAGUUUGUAAAUACUAGCUUUGAAGAUCACACAUGACCUGAUCCCAACCUUGAAGAAAGUCCUAAAAGAAAAAAUAUUACAUAUGAGGAAUUAAGGAAUAAGAACAGAGAGUCAUAUGAAGUAUCUUUAACACAAAAGACUGACCCCUCAGUCAGGCCUAUGCAUGAAAGAGUGCCAAAAAAAGAAGUCAAAGUAAACAAGUAUGGAGAUACUUGGGAUGAGUGAAAAAUUACAUCAUUGGACAUGAAGGAGUUUCAACAUCCAGCUUCAUCUAGGUGGUCAUGAUUACCUGCAUGCUUUGAGCUCAGCAGCAGUCUUCAUAAACACAUUUAAAACAAGAUCCUGGGUUUUUGUGGUUUGACUUCUAUGGUGUUUUAAAAAAAUACAGAUUUUUAGUGUUAAUAUUGUGUAAAUGUACUCACCUUGGGUAUUCAUUUGAAUGAUGGUAUUAUACCAUGAUUGUAUACAGUUUGUGAAAUUGUUGCAAGGGCAAAGAUAACUCUUAAAAAACUGUCGAGAUUACAAUGCUCUAGAAUCAGCAUAUAAGAAAAUAAAUGAUAUCUGCAUGUUGAAUUGGGGUGGAUGGGGGGAGCAAGCAUAAUUUUUAAGUGUGAAGCUUUGCAUCAAGAAAUUAUUAAAAAGCUUUUUUUCUCCAGUAUUUUCUGUAUUAUCUUAAUGUUUAUGGCAAAUAAAAUGUAAAGGAACAUGCAA